UACGUAGGGUGCAAGCGUUGUCCGGAAUUAUUGGGCGUAAAGAGCUCGUAGGCGGUUUGUUGCGUCGGCUGUGAAAUCCCGAGGCUCAACCUCGGGUCUGCAGUCGAUACGAGCAAACUAGAGUGUUGCAGGGGAGACUGGAAUCCCUGGUGUAGCGGUGAAAUGCGCAGAUAUCAGGAGGAACACCGGUGGCGAAGGCGGGUCUCUGGGCAACAACUGACGCUGAGGAGCGGAAGCGUGGGGAGCGAACAGG
rnacentral:rRNA from 1 species